GCCUACGGGGGGCAGCAGUGGGGAAUAUUGCGCAAUGGGCGAAAGCCUGACGCAGCGACGCCGCGUGAGGGAUGAAGGUCUUCGGAUCGUAAACCUCUGUCAGCAGGGAAGAACGGUCACUGUGCUAAUCAGCAGCGAAUUGACGGUACCUGCAAAGGAAACACCGGCUAACUCCGUGCCAGCAGCCGCGGUAAUACGGAGGGUGCGAGCGUUAAUCGGAAUUACUGGGCGUAAAGCGCUCGUAGGCGGUAUGUCAAGUCAAGGGUGAAAUCCCCGCGCUCAACGUGGGAACUGCCUUUGAAACU
rnacentral:rRNA from 1 species